CCCAAAAAGAUCAGCUCUCCAUCAUGGCCUGGUCUCUGCUGUUGGCUUUCUUCUUCUUAUGGUGCACAGGAGCCAACUCACAGUAUACCUUGAGUCAGCCUAUGGCACAAUCGUUUCCAUCGGGACAACCGGCGAAGAUCCCAUGUACCAUGAGCCGAGACAGCCAAGUGAGCACCUAUGGCAUAUAUUCGUACCAACAGAAGGCUGGAGAGAGCUCCAGAUAUCUUCUCAUUAAUACUGACAGUAACGGCUGGUUCACGGGGUCCAAGGAUUCCUCUGCCAAUGCAGCCUGUUUAACCAUUACAAACCUCCAGGCUGAGGAUGAAGCUGAUUAUUAA